rnacentral:rRNA from 1 species
UACGGGGGGGGCAAGCGUUGUUCGGAAUUACUGGGCGUAGAGGGUUUGUAGGUGGCCGGCUAAGUCAGACGUGAAAUCCCUCAGCUUAACUGGGGAACUGCGUCUGGGACUGGUCGGCUUGAGGGCCGGAGAGGAACGCGGAAUUCCAGGUGUAGCGGUGAAAUGCGUAGAUAUCUGGAGGAACACCGGUGGCGAAGGCGGCGUUCUGGACGGCAUCUGACACUGAGAAACGAAAGCCAGGGGAGCAAACGGG